CGUCUAUAUACGUAUAGCAUAUCAAUAAGCGGAGGAAAAGUAAACUAACAAGGAUUCCCUUAGUAACGGCGAGUGAAGCGGGAAGAGCUCAAAUUUGAAAUCUUCAAGGUUCUACCUUGACGAAUUGUAGUUUAAAGAAGUGUUUUCUGUUAGAGGAGUAGCAAAAGUUCUUUGGAAUAGGACAUCAUAGAGGGUGAGAAUCCCGUAUUUGGUUAUUCUUUCUAGCUUUGUGAUACACUUUCAAAGAGUCGGAUUGUUUGGGAAUGCAGUCCAAAAUGGGUGGUAAAUUUCAUCUAAAGCUAAAUAUUGGCGAGAGACCGAUAGCGAACAAGUACCGUGAGGGAAAGAUGAAAAGAACUUUGAAAAGAGAGUUAAACAGUACGUGAAAUUGUCAAAAGGGAAGCGUUUGACACCAGUGUUGUUUUUCCGGAAAUCAAUUAAGAGUGGCUUGAUUUUGUGUUGUAUUGACCUUAUCAGCUUUCUUCACUCUUUUUCGAGUCUUUCUUAAUGCACUUUUCGGUUAACAAGUCAACAUCAAUUUCUUUUGUUGUAAAAGGGUAUUUGGAAGGUGGCUUUCUUUUCGGAGAAAGUGUUUAUAGCCUUAUACCUCUACAAUCGGAGAGAUUGAGGUCUGCAGCGUAGAUCCUUCGGGGCUAGAUACACUUGUGCUAAGUUAUAGCUUUUCAUAGACAACUUGUUGACUAUGUUUAGUCAUGUAGCUUACCCGCUUGUGCUAUUUUACCUACGCUUAGGAUGUUGAGUCAUCACACAUCUCU
rnacentral:rRNA from 1 species